AUAAAAUUGAGAAUGGAAAUGGGGAAUGUGCCAAAGAGACAACAACCCGACCAUAGAAAAAACUAACAGCAGAAGGUCACCAACAGGUCUUCAAUGUAGCGAGAAAUUCCCGCACCCGGAGGAGUCCUUCAGCUGGCCCCUAAACAAAUAUAUACUAGUUCAGUGAUAAUGAACGCCAUACUAAUUUCCAAAUUGUACACAAGAAACUAAAAUUAAAAUAAUACAAGACUAACAAAGGCCAGACGCUCCUGACUUGGGACAGGC
rnacentral:lncRNA from 1 species